UACGUAGGGUGCGAGCGUUAAUCGGAAUUACUGGGCGUAAAGCGUGCGCAGGCGGUUCGUUGUGUCUGAUGUGAAAGCCCCGGGCUCAACCUGGGAAUGGCAUUGGAAACUGGCGAGCUAGAGUGUGGCAGAGGGGGGUGGAAUUCCGCGUGUAGCAGUGAAAUGCGUAGAUAUGUGGAGGAAUACCGAUGGCGAAGGCAGCCCCCUGGGAUAACACUGACGCUCAUGCACGAAAGCGUGGGGAGCAAACAGG
rnacentral:rRNA from 1 species